rnacentral:lncRNA from 1 species
AGUUUUUGUCUUUCAGUAUUUUGAAUAUAUCAUUCCACUCUUUCCUAGCCUGUAGGAUUUCUACUUGUAAAUUUGCUGAAAGCCUGAUAAAUAUUCCUUUGUAGGUUAUUUUCUUCUGUCUUGUGGCCCUUAAUAUUUUUUCUUUGUCAUUGAAUUUUGACAGCUUUGGUAUUAUAUGCCUUGGGUAAGAUCUUUUGCCUUGAUGUAAUUAGGAGUUCUAUUGGUUUCAAGUAAUUGUAAGUCCAGUUACUUCCUCAGGUUUGUGAAGAUCUCAGCUACUGUUCUUUUGAAUAAGCUCUCUUCUCCUUUUCCCCUCUCUUCUCCUCCUGGGAUAUCUAUUAUCCUUAUGUUACUUUUCCUAAUUGAGUCAGAUAUUUCUUGAAGAAUUUCUUCACUUUUUAAAAUCUUCAUUCUCUCUCUUCCUCCACCUGAAUCAAUUCUAAGUUUCUAUCUUUGAGGUCACUAAUUCUCCCCUCCAUAUGUUCUGCUCUAUCUUUAAUGCUUUCUUACUUAUUUUUAAUCUCAUAAUUGUGUUCUUCAUCUCCAACAUUUGUUUGUUUUUUGUUUAUUUUUUUAAUCCUGAGCUCAUUGAACGAUAUUUCUGAGUUUUCUUGUAACUCAUUGAUUUACUGUGGAAGAGCUAUUGUGAAUUCUCUUUCAGUUAGAUUAUAUUCUUCUGUGACUUCAAAUUUGGUUUCUGGAGAGUUUUCCUUCUCAUUCUCUUGUACCAUGUUACUGUAGUUAUUCACAGUAUUUGGUGAGUUAAGUCUCUGCUGGGGCACUUGUGAUAGUACUACCAUUCUUAAUUGGGUAUAGCUUUGAUUACUUUGGUUUUGAUCUGCUUCUUAUUGUAUUUGAGAUCCUACACUUUCCAUCCUGGGGUCUGUUCCCUGGAUUACUGAUACCAAGGGAGGAGGAGGGUGUUGCUACUCUGGUUCCAUUGCCUCCUGUGGGUCCAGGCCACGUGCCUUCAGUUGUAUAUAGGUAUGGAUCUGUUAUUUUUCCUGCGAUGCUGUGUAGGGGAUCUUCUGUUGGUCAAUGGUAUUCCAAUGGUUUGUAACUUAGAAAGGAAAGACAAAGAGAAUAACUUACUCUGCCAUGAUGAUGAUGUCAUUGCAUUUCAUUUACUUUUAUUUUACAAUUACAAUUGGGGGCAACUCACCAUUAAUUUCUUAUCCUUUUGUUUUUUGAUAUUCAGCUUGUGUCUGUUUUCAAAAUAAAAACAAAAUUUCAAUCAAAAUAUAUUUGAUAUACAAGUGUUAAAUUAAAUUCUACAACAUGUUGAUUUGAUAUGUUUAUAUAUUGUGAUAUUAUUGCAUUUGUAGUGAUAAUUAGCACCUCUAUCACGUCACAUAAUUAUCAUGUCUAAUAUGUGUUUGGAAUAAUUAAGAUCUAAUCUCUUAAGUUUGAAUAUUAUAAGGCAAUAUUGUUGUCUAUAGUCACUGUACUUUUCAUUAGAUCUCUAGGACGUAUUUACUACUAGUUGCAAAUUUGUACCCUUAAACAACUUUUCUCAUAUUCCCCCACAACCAAGGCCCUGGUAUCCAC